rnacentral:tRNA from 1 species
UAGCUCAGUUGGUAGAGCAUGGUGUUUGCAACGCCAGGGUUGUGGGUUCGAUUCUGAC